rnacentral:rRNA from 1 species
GAUGAAUGCUGGCGGCGUGCCUAACACAUGCAAGUCGAGCGGCAGCGCGAGUAGUUUACUACUUGGCGGCGAGCGGCGGACGGCUGAGUAACGCGUGGGAACGUACCCCAAAGUGAGGAAUAACUGCCCGAAAGGGUGGCUAAUGCCGCAUAUGGUCUUCGGAUUAAAGGAUUAUCCGCUUUGGGAACGGCCUGCGUACGAUUAGAUAGUUGGUGAGGUAAUGGCUCACCAAGUCUACGAUCGUUAACUGGUCUGAGAGGAUGAUCAGUCAGACUGGAACUGAGACACGGUCCAGACUCCUACGGGAGGCAGCAGUGAGGAAUCUUCCACAAUGGGCGAAAGCCUGAUGGAGCAACGCCGCGUGCAGGAUGAAGGGCCUUCGGGUCGUAAACUGCUUUAUAAGUGAAGAAUAUGACGGUAGCUUAUGAAUAAGCACCGGCUAACUACGUG